rnacentral:rRNA from 1 species
GCCAGUGGUGAACUCCACAUACGCAUCCUUUGCUGAGGAUGCGGUUAACGGAGCGAAAGCGACGUUCAACCGCAAAAGAAGCAGAGGGGGCUUAGUGGUGGGGUGACUGCGUACCUUUUGUAUAAUGGGUCAGCGACUUAUAUUCUGUAGCAAGGUUAACCGAAUAGGGGAGCCGGAGGGAAACCGAGUCUUAAUUGGGCGUUAAGUUGCAGGGUAUAGACCCGAAACCCGGUGAUCUAGCCAUGGGCAGGUUGAAGGUUGGGUAACACUAACUGGAGGACCGAACCGACUAAUGUUGAAAAAUUAGCGGAUGACCUGUGGCUGGGGGUGAAAGGCCAAUCAAACCGGGAGAUAGCUGGUUCUCCCCGAAAGCUAUUUAGGUAGCGCCUCGUGAAUUCAUCUCCGGGGGUAGAGCACUGUUUCGGCUAGGGGGCCAUCCCGGCUUACCAACCCGAUGCAAACUGCGAAUACCGGAGAAUGUUAUCACGGGAGACACACGGCGGGUGCUAACGUCCGUCGUGAAGAGGGAAACAACCCAGACCGCCAGCUAAGGUCCCAAAGUCAUGGUUAAGUGGGAAACGAUGUGGGAAGGCCCAGACAGCCAGGAUGUUGGCUUAGAAGCAGCCAUCAUUUAAAGAAAGCGUAAUAGCUCACUGGUCGAGUCGGCCUGCGCGGAAGAUGUAACGGGGCUAAACCAUGCACCGAAGCUGCGGCAGCGACACUCAGGUGUUGUUGGGUAGGGGAGCGUUCUGUAAGCCUGUGAAGGUGGCCUGUGAGGGUUGCUGGAGGUAUCAGAAGUGCGAAUGCUGACAUAAGUAACGAUAAAGCGGGUGAAAAGCCCGCUCGCCGGAAGACCAAGGGUUCCUGUCCAACGUUAAUCGGGGCAGGGUGAGUCGACCCCUAAGGCGAGGCCGAAAGGCGUAGUCGAUGGGAAACGGGUUAAUAUUCCCGUACUUGGUGUUACUGCGAAGGGGGGACGGAGAAGGCUAUGUUGGCCGGGCGACGGUU